UCCUGCCCUCACAGCCCAAAGAUGGGACUUUCUUCAUCAGGGCCUAAACACCUCCCGGACGGAGCGUGAAAAAAGGAAGCCCACUGGAAGAGCAACUGAGCUGCCUAUGGCUGACAGCCCCAUCUGGUGGCAAAGGUCACCACAAACCACCGAUAAGAACAGUGCUGGUUAUGCAUGCACUUAAGGCUGAGCAAAUGGAGGCUGA